UACGUAGGGGGCUAGCGUUGUCCGGAAUCAUUGGGCGUAAAGAGCGUGUAGGCGGCUCGGUAAGUCCGCUGUGAAAGUCGGGGGCUCAACCCUCGAAUGCCGGUGGAUACUGUCGAGCUAGAGUGCGGAAGAGGCGAGUGGAAUUCCUGGUGUAGCGGUGAAAUGCGCAGAUAUCGGGAGGAACACCUAUUGCGAAGGCAGCUCACUGGACCGGAACUGACGCUGAGGCGCGAAAGCGUGGGGAGCAAACAGG
rnacentral:rRNA from 1 species